rnacentral:lncRNA from 1 species
CGCUAGCUCCGCUGCCACUACCUCCGUUACCACUGUUGCUGUAGCCACCCUUGUAGCCAGAAUUUGACGACUGCUUCAGCGCUUUAAGCUGCCUGCAGUCCUUUACCACGUGCCCAGGUUUAUUACAGUAGUUGCAGAUGACUUGCUUCCGACUGUGUCCCGAGCUGUUGUUAGCCGGCCCCCGGCUACCAUAACCAGAAGUAGAAGCGCCGAACAUCGAACCGCCGACAGACGCGAAGGCUGCCGACUCGGUAGGCUUGCCCGACC